AUGCUCCCUUUGGCAGCACAUAUACUAAAAUUGGAACGAGACAGAGAAGAUUAGCAUGGCCCCUGUGCAAGGAUGACACGCAAAUUCAUGAAGCAUUCCAUAUUUUU
rnacentral:snRNA from 1 species